CACUCCUUGUGACCAUUUUGGAUAAUCCACACUGCCUCAUCAAACCAGAAAACAAUUCAAACCUGGCCUGCUUGUAACUGAAAGCCACAUUUUAAGAACUUAUUGUGAAGAAACUGGAAAGCCUCCAAUAGAACAUAAGCUAAAAGACAAAAUUAUAAAAAGCUCUAUUAUAUGUUGGAAAAACUGAACAAGAGAAACAAUUAUAUACACUAUCUCUUCUGGAAAAGCUGGAUUGGGUUUUGGUCUGUAUCAAUAGGGUCCAUUAUACAGCACAAGGCUGCCUCUCCUGCUCUCCAGUCAUACUUCCAAGAAAACUGCUCACUCUCAGAACCAAGGUUCAAUUUAUACAUUGUGGUUUGGGUAAAGGCUAUAUAUGUAGUGAUGCCCAUGCUACCCCUGAUAUCUAAAAAUCUAAGAUGAAAACGUGCACACAGUCUUGGCAGCAUUGGGGUAAUAGACUAUGAAAGAAGAAAGCAGAUUGGAAAAGUCAGUAUAUCAAUUAAGAAAAUAAUCACUCAAGGAGAGGAAUAAACAGCAAAGCAAUCUA